rnacentral:lncRNA from 1 species
UCAGCAUCACGUGUGUUUUCCUCACACAUAAACAAUAUUUUAGGCAGAGUUAUUUGCAGUACUCUGGUGUAGACAAUAAACACACAAAGCUAUUUUGUGAAAACGUGCAGCUCUUAAUUUAAAUCUGACUUUUGCUCUUAAAUCUUCAAAAAGAUGUGGAGAAGGACAGGAAAAAUAUGGAUGCUGCUGAGUUCCAGGCACCUCAAGACCUCAUUCUGCAGAUGGUGCUGAGCAGGGUUUGAUGUUGAGCUGCUGCAUCAUGGUCCUCCAUCCAAAUCCACACUGCAACAUUGGUAUGCCCGCUGCCAGUGGCCCAGGCUAAAAGGUGACUUUGAAGAAGAAGAUAAACUUUCCACACUGAUGAUGGAUUCUUUUUUCUGCUAUUUUGAUUAAAAAUGAAGCUGAAAAUCUUUUAAAGCUUUAGAGGCAGAAUUCCUUCAGCUAAAAAAGAAUGAGAAGAGCAUCAGGUAGCAGUGUGAACUUCUGCAUAGUAUUGAGUAUGUGCUACUCUGUGGAAGAACCAUUUCUAGAAGUGUCCCCUGACACAGGCACAUGAAAGACAGGCCUUGGAUGAAGCCGUAAUGUUGUACUUCUCCAU